AGUGAACGCUGGCGGUAGGCCUAACACAUGCAAGUCGAACGGCAGCACAGUAAGAGCUUGCUCUUACGGGUGGCGAGUGGCGGACGGGUGAGGAAUACAUCGGAAUCUACUUUUUCGUGGGGGAUAACGUAGGGAAACUUACGCUAAUACCGCAUACGACCUACGGGUGAAAGCAGGGGAUCUUCGGACCUUGCGCGAUUGAAUGAGCCGAUGUCGGAUUAGCUAGUUGGCGGGGUAAAGGCCCACCAAGGCGACGAUCCGUAGCUGGUCUGAGAGGAUGAUCAGCCACACUGGAAGGGAGACACGGUCCAGACUCCUACGGGAGGCAGCAGUGGGGAAUAUUGGACAAUGGGCGCGAGCCUGAUCCAGCCAUACCGCGUGGGUGAAGGAGGCCUUCGGGUUGUAAAGCCCUUUUGUUGGGAAAGAAAAGCAGCAGGUUAAUACCCCGCUGUUCUGACGGUACCCAAAGAAUAAGCACCGGCUAACUUCGUG
rnacentral:rRNA from 1 species